CCAUAAUGAAAUGGUUGGUGGAUUUAAUUUCACCCUCUGAACGUGCAUGAGUUACCACUGACAGAUCACACUGUACUGCUUACUGUUCACAAAAGUACGGUUUAGACAUGUCACCUGUUGAAUUCGACGACAAACAACUGCAGAAUCAAUCUUAUUAGAGAACCUACCUUCACACUCCAAAAAUGAUGGGAAAGGGAGACAACGGUGCAGGUAAAGGGGUUGAAUGCAGUAGGUAUGGCGCCAUUAAUUAGAUGUUACUUUAGCAGCACAAUGUUGUUGUCAUUAUUGGGAAGGUCUUAAAACAUCCUUGAAAAAGGAAAUUUAAGAUGAAGUUAAUAAUUAGCAGCAGAAAGAGUUUUAGUUUGUGGGACAUUAUGGA
rnacentral:sRNA from 1 species